rnacentral:rRNA from 1 species
UACGUGAAACCGUUUAGGGGUAAACCUGAGAAACCCGAAAGGUCGAAGGGAGAAAUUCAUUCGCGUCUCGUCGCAGGCGUCGGACGGGGUCGAGUGACGGAGAGUGCGUUCGCGUGCUUUUCGCGCCCUCCGUUCGACGAACCGGUAACGAACGCGUGCACUUUUCUCCUGGUAGGACGUCGCGAUCCGUUGGGUGUCGGUCUACGGCUCGCGGUGGAGUCCGUUCGUACGUUUCGCGACGUACGGGCGGACCCGCGUGUCCCGGCUGACUCGCUCGACGGUAUAAGAAUGGUUUAAGGCCGCUCUUCGGAGCGUUCGGCUCGCGGCAAGCGCGCCAGUUGCGUCGGCAAUCGGACCUAGUGCCGAUUCUGACCUCUGGUGACUGUUGGCCGCGAAGUUCUCGAACAGACCUUCUCUCAAUUCUGAAAAACCGAUCUGCGACGCUAUAGCUUUGGGUACUUUCAGGACCCGUCUUGAAACACGGACCAAGGAGUCUAGCAUGUGCGCGAGUCAUUGGGAAUCACUAAACCUAAAGGCGCAAUGAAAGUAAAGGUUCCCCUCGCGGGGACUGAGGGAAGACGGGCGGUUUCACCCUUAAAAGUGGCCGCUCCGCACUCCCGGGGCGUCUCGUUCUCAUCGCGAGAAGAGGCGCACCAAGAGCGUACACGCUGGGACCCGAAAGAUGGUGAACUAUGCCUGGUCAGGACGAAGUCAGGGGAA